rnacentral:lncRNA from 1 species
CUUGGGCAGUGUACGGGACGACAGUGCCUAGCAGAGGAGCUUCACUGCCGGUGAGGGAUUACCUCAGAAACUUCCUUCUACUACUUAAAGUCCUCACAUUGGGCUGACCUGGGAAACAUGAAGAUAAAAAGAGUGGGUAAACAUGCCUGCUUGAUGAGCCAGAAAAAAAGGCAGAAACCUGUGGUCUGGGUAGAACAGAUCCUGCUCAGAAUGUAUAAACCAGGAAAAGUUGUUCUGGCCCCUCAUCUGGUUUCAUGAAGGACAAUAUCUAGCAUGAGAGUGACAGGGGUUAGAAUAAUGGACAUUUUGGGGACUGGGUCCUAGCAGAAAUGAUGGAAUAAUGGAACAGGAGUUUGGAUGAAUGGGCAUAUUAUGGGAUUAAAGAAGAUUUGAAUACAAGCUUUCCUAAUAAAUGAAAGGGGAGGUGAAACUAGAGCAUGCUGAUGGCUGCACAGCAUUGUGAAUGCACUAAAUGCACUAACUGUCCACUUUAAAAUGUUUAGUAAUAUGUCGAUUUUACCUAAAUAAAAAAAAGGAAGCAACAUAGUGAGUCAUCGUCUCUAUAACAAUUUUAUUCAG